rfam:Myotis lucifugus cont2.14524, whole genome shotgun sequence.
GAGACACCCAUCUGGGGCAAGACUUGUUUCAGUGGGGCUGUGGUGCUCACUGAGUCUGCCCCCUGAGUGUGUCCCU